rnacentral:rRNA from 1 species
CAGCGGCCCUAGUGGUGAUCGUUAUUAUUGGGCCUAAAGCGUCCGUAGCCGGUUCGGUAAAUCUCUGGGUAAAUCGUUGGGCUUAACUCAGCGAAUUCUGGGGAGACUGCCGAACUUGGGACCGGGAGAGGUCGGAGGUACUCCAGGGGUAGGGGUGAAAUCCUGUAAUCCUUGGGGGACCACCGGUGGCGAAAGCGUCCGACCAGAACGGGUCCGACGGUAAGGGACGAAGCCCUGGGUCGCGAACCGGAUUAGAUACCCGAGUAGCC